UUUAAUAACUCUGAAGAUGGUAAUAUCUCUCUUUUAAAAUCACAUAUUGAGAUAUAAUUUAUAUGCAAUAAAAUUCAGACAUUUAGAGUAAACUGUUCAGUGACUAAAAAAUUCACCCUGUAAUAACUACCCCAGUCAAGAUAAGCAACAAGGUGGCCAGCUCUGCUGCACCCCAUAUGGAUGCCAGUUCUAAUCCCUGCUGCUCCUCUUCGGAUCCAGCUCUCUGUUGUGGCCUGGGAAAGCACUAGAAGAUGGCCCAAGUGCUUGGGCCCCUGCACCCACAUGGGAAACCUGCAGGAAGCUCCUGGCUCCUGGCUUUGGGUCUGCUCAGCUCCGACCAUUGCAGCCAUUUGAGGACUAAACCAGUGGCUAGAAGACCCUUCUCUCUGUCUCUCACUAUCUGUAACUCUACCUGUCAAACAAAUUUUUUUAAAAAUAUUAAAAAAAAAAAAAGAUAAACAACAAAUACUCAGAAAAUUCUCUGGUACAGCUUUGGUGUCAACUUGCUUAUGCCUUAACUAGUUAAAUACUAGUUGGAUUUCUAUUACUAUAGAUUAUUUCCACCAGUUCUAGAACUUCAUGUAAAUGAAAAUAUUAAUCUACUCACUUUGUGUCAGACUUCUUUGAAGAAAUUCAGCAUGAUGGUUUUUUAAAUUUUUUAUUUUUUUAACUUUUAUUUAAUGAAUAUAAAUUUCCAAAGUACAGCUUAUGGAUUACAUUGGCUCCCCCCCCCCCAUAACUUCCCUCCCACCCGCAACCUCCCCUUUCCCGCUCCCUCUCCCCUUCCAUUCACAUCAAGAUUCAUUUUCAAUUCUCUUUAUAUACAGAAGAUCAGUUUAGCAUAUAUUAAGUGAAGAUUUCAACAGUUUGCACUCACAUAGAAACACAAAGUGAAAAAUACUGUUUGAGUACUGGUUAUAGCAUUAAAUCACAAUGUACAGCACAUUAAGGACAGAGAUCCUACAUGAGGAGUAAGUGCACAGUGACUCCUGUUGUUGACUUAACAAAUUGACACUCUUGUUUAUGGCAUCAGUAAUCACCCUAGGCUCUUGUCAUGAGUUGCCAAGGCUAUGGAAGCCUUUUGAGUUCACCAACUCUGAUCAUAUUUAGACAAGGUCAUAGUCAAAGUGGAAGUUCUCUCCUCCCUUCAGAGAAAGGUACCUCCUUCUUUGAUAGCCCGUUCUUUUUACUGGGAUCUCACUCGUGGAGAUCUUUUAUUUAGGUUUGGUUUGGUUUUUCUUUAGAGUGUUUUGGCUUUCCAUGCCUAAAAUACUCUCAUGGGCUCUUCAGCUGGAUCCGCAUGCCUUAAGGGCUGAUUCUGAGGCCAGAGUGCUGCUUAAGACAUCUGCCAUUCUAUGAGUCUGCUGUGUAUCUCGCUUCCAAUGUUGGAUCGUUCUCUCCCUUUUUUAUUCUAUCGGUUAGUAUUAGCAGACACUGGUCUUGUUUAUGUGAUCCCUUUGACUCUUAGUCCUAUCAUUCUGAUCAAUUGUGAACAGAAAUUGAUCACUGGGACUAGUGAGAUGGCACUGGUACAUGCCACCUUGAUGGGAUUGAAUUGGAAUCCCCUGGUAUGUUUCUAACUCUACCGUUUGGGGCAAGUCAGCUUGAGCAUGUCCCAAAUUGUACAUCUUCUCCCUCUCGUAUUCCCACUCUUAUAUUUAACAGCGAUCACUUUUCAGUUAAGUUUCAACACUUAAGAAUAACUGUGUAUUGAUUACAGUAUUCAACCAAAAGUGUUAAGUAGAACAAACAAACAAAAAAUACUAAGAGGGAUAACGUAUUAAGUUGUUCAUCAACAGUCAGGGCAAGGGCUGAUCAAGUCACCGUUUCUCAUAGUGUUCAUUUCACUUUAACGGGUUUCCUUUUUGGUGCUCGGUUAGUUGUCACCGAUCAGGGAGAACAUAUGAUAAUUGUCCCUUUGGGACUGGCUUAUUUCACUCAGCAUAAUGUUUUCCAAAUUCCUAACAGGGAUCACUUUUCAGUUAAAAUUUAAACACCUAAGAAUAAUUGUGUGUUAAUUACAGAGUUCAACCAGUAGUACUAGAACCAAAAAAAUACUAAAAGGGAUAGAGUAUUAAGUUGUACAUCAGCCGUCAGGACAAGGGCCUGUCAAGUCACUGUUUCUCAUAGUGUCAAUUUCACUUCAACAGGUUUCCCCUUUGGUGCUCAGUUAGUUGUUGCCGAUCAGGCAGAACAUAUGAUAUUUGUCCCUUUGGGACUGGCUUAAUUCACUCAGCAUGAUGUGUUCCAGAUUCCUCCAUCUUGUUGCAAAUGACCGGGUUUCAUUGUUUUUGACUGCUGUGUAGUAUUCUAUAGUGUUCAUGUCCCAUAAUUUCUUUAUCCAGUCUACUGUUGAUGGGCAUUUGGGUUGGUUCCAGGUCUUAGCUCUUGUGAAUUGAGCUGCAAUAAACAUUAAUGUGCAGACAGCUUUUUUGUUUGCCAAUUUCAUUUCCUUUGGGUAAAUUCCAAGGAGUGGCUGGGUUGUAUGGUAGGGUUAUAUUCAGGUUCCUGAGGAAUCUCCAAACUGACUUCCAUAGUGGCUUAACCAAUUUGCAUUCCCACCAACAGUGGGUUGGUGUCCCUUUUUCCCCACAUCCUCGCCAGCAUCUGUUGUUGGUAGAUUUCUGAAUGUGAGCCAUUCUAACUGGGGUGAGGUGAAACCUCAUUGUGGUUUUGAUUUGCAUUUCCCUGAUUGCUAGUGAUCUUGAACAUUUUUUCAUGUGUCUGUUGGCCAUUUGGAUUUCCUCUUUUGAAAAAUGUCUAUUGAGGUCCUUGGCCCAUCUCUUAAGUGGGUUGUUGGUUUUGUUUUUGUGGAGUUUCUUGAUUUCUUUGUAGAUUCUGGUUAUCAACCCUUUAUCUGUUGCAUAGUUUGCAAAUAUUUUUUCCCAUUCUGUUGGUUGCCUCUUCACUUUCUUGAUUGUAUCUUUUGAAGUACAGAAACUUCUCAAUUUGAUGCAAUCUCAAAUGUUAAUUUUGGCUUUGACUGCCUGUGCUUCUGGGGUAUUUUCCAAGAAGUCUUUGCCAGUACCUAUAUCUGCAGGGUUUCUCCAAUGCUCUCUAAUAAUUUGAUGGUGUUGGGUCGUAGAUUUAAGUCUUUAAUCCAUGUUGAGUGAAUUUUUGUAUAAGGUGAAAGGUAGGGGUCUUGCUUCAUGAUUCUGCACGUGGAAAUCCAAUUUUCCCAGCACUAUUUAUUGAAUAGACUGUCCUUACUCCAGGGAUUGUUUUUGGAUCCUUGAUCAAAUAUAAGUUGGCUGUAGAUGUUUGGAUUGAUUUCUGGUGUUUCUAUUCUGUUCCAUUGGUCAAUCUGUUUCUGUACCAGUACCAUGCUGUUUUGAUUACAACUGCCCUGUAGUAUGUCCUGAAAUCUGGUAUUGUGAUGCCUCCAGCUUUGUUUUUGUUGUACAAGAUUGCUUUAGCUAUUCGAGGUCUCCUGUUUCUCCAUAUGAAUUUCAGCAUCAUUUUUUCCAGAUCUGAGAAGAAGGUCUUCGGUAUCUUGAUUGGUAUUGCAUUGAAUGUAUAAAUUGCUUUUGGGAGAAUGGACAUUUUGAUGAUGUUGAUUCUUCCAAUCUAUGAGCAUGGAAGAUUUUUCCAUUUUCUGGUAUCCUCCUCUAUUUCUUUCUUUGAGGUUUUGUAAUUGUCAUCUUAGAGAUCUUUAACGUCCUUGGUUAAGUUUAUUCCAAGGUAUUUGAUUGUAUUUGUAGCUAUUGUGAAUGGGAUUGAUCUUAGGAGUUCUUCCGCAGCCGUGGUAUUGCCUGUGUAUACAAAGGCUAUUGAUUUUUGUGCAUUGAUUUUAUAUCCUGCUACUUUGCCAAACUCUUCUGUGAGUUCCAGUAGUCUCUUUGUAGAGUUCUUUGGGUCCCCUAACUAAAGAAUCAUAUCAUCUGCAAAGAGGGAUAGUUUGAGUUCUUCCUUCCCAAUUUGUAUCCCUUUAAUUUCUUUUUCUUGCCUAAUAGCUCUGGCUAGAACUUCCGGAACUAUAUUGAAUAGCAGUGGUGAGAGUGGGCAUCCCUGUCUGGUACCAGAUCUCAGUGGAAAUGCUUCCAGCUUUUCCCCAUUCAAUAGGAUGUUGGCCGUGGGUUUUUCAUAAAUUGCUUUGAUUGUAUUGAGGAAUGUUCCUUCCAUACCCAGUUUGCUUAGAGUUUUCAUCAUGAAAGGGUGUUGUGUUUUAUCAAAUGCUUUCUCGGUGUCUAUUGAGAUAAUCAUAUGGUUUUUCUUCUGUAGUCUGUUAAUGUGGUGUAUCACAUUGAUUGUUUUGCGAACAUUGAAUCAUCCCUGCAUACCAGGGAUGAAUCCCACUUGGUCUGGGUGGAUGAUUUUCCUGAUGUGUUGUUGUACUCUAUUGGCCAGAAUUUUAUUGAGGAUUUUUGCGUCUAUGUUCAUCAGGGAUAUUGGUCUGUAAUUUUCUUUCAGUGUUGCAUCUUUCUCUGGCUUAGGGAUUAAGGUGAUGCUGGCGUCAUAGAAAGAAUUUGGGAGGAUUCCCUCUUUUUCGAUUGUUCUGAAUAGUUUGAGAAGAAAUGGGAUUAGUUCUUCUUUAAAUGUCUGGUAGAAUUCAGCAGUGAAUCCAUCUGGUCCUGGGCUUUUCUUUGUUGGGAGGGCCUUUAUUACUGUUUCAAUUUCUGUCUCAGUUAUGAGUCUGUUUAGGUUUUCGAUGUCUUCCUGGUUCAAUUUAGGUAGGUUGCAUGUGUCCAGGAAUCUAUCCAUUUCUGAUAGGUUUCCCUGUUUGCUGGCAUACAAGUCCUUGUAGUAAUUUCUGAUGAUUCUUUUUAUUUCUGUGGUGUCUGUUGUUACGUUUCCUUUUUCAUCUCUGAUUUUAUUGAUUUGGGUCUUUUCUCUUCUUUUUUUAGUUAGUUGGGCCAAUGGGUGUCAAUUUUGUUUAUUUUUUCAAAAAACCAGCUCCUCGUUUGGCUGAUUUUUUUUUUGUAAUUUUUUUUGAUUCAAUCCUGUUGAUUUCUUCUCUGAUUUUAAUUAUUUCUCUUCUCCUACUAGAUUUGGGUCUGGUUUGCUGAAGAUUUUCUAGAUCCUUGAGAUGAGUUGAAAACUCAUCUAUUUGGUGCCUUUACAAUUUCUUGAUGUAGGCACCUAUUGAUAUAAACUUUCCUCUUAACACUGCUUUUGCUGCGUCCCAUAAGUUUUGUUAUGUUGUGCUGUUAUCCUCAUUUACUUCCAGAAAAUUUUUGAUUUCUCUUUUAAUUUCUUCUAUGACCCAUUGUUCAUUUAGAAGCAUGUUGUUCAAUCUCCAUGUGUUUGCGUAUGCUCUAGGGAUUCCUGAAUUGCUAAUUUCCAACUUCAUUCCUUUAUGGUCUGAGAAGCUGCAUGGUAUGAUUCUAAUUCUUUUGAAUUUGCUGAGACUUGCUUUAUGGCCUAGUAUGUGGUCAAUCCUAGAGAAGGUUCCAUGUACUUCUGAGAAGAAUGUAAAAUCUUUAGCUGUAGGAUUGAAAGUUCUGUAGAUAUCUGUUAGAUCCAUUUGGGCUAUAGUGUUGUUUAAAUCUACUAUCUCCUUGAUCUGUCUAUUUCUGAGAGUGGAGUAUUGAAGUCCCCCAGUGCUAUUGUAUUGGGGUCUAAGUCUCCCUUUAAGUCCCUUAACAAAUCUUUUAAAUAAACUGGUGCCCUGUAAUUAGGUGCAUAUACAUUGAUAAUCAUUAUAUCUUCCUGUUGAAUUGAUCCCUUAAUCAUUAUAUAGUGCCCCUCUUUGUCUCUCCUAACAGUUUUUGUGGUAAAGUUUAUGUUGUCCGAUAUUAAGAUGGCUACGCCCGCUCUUUUUUCAUUUCUGUUGGCAUGGUAUAUCUUUUUCCAGCCCUUUACUUUCAGUCUGUAUGCAUCUUUGUUGGUAAGAUGUGUUUCUUGUAAGCAGCAAAUAGAUGGGUUUUGUUCCUGAACCCAAUCAGCCAAUUGGUGUCUUUUAACUGGACAGUUCAGGCCAUUAACGUUCAAUGUGACUAUUGAUAAGUAGUAACUUUGCCCUGCCAUUUGCCGAAGAUAUUUUCUAAUAUAUGUUUUGAUCUUUUGCUGUGAGGUUUCCUUCCUUUACCUUCUUUCAUGUUGAUGACCGUGUUUCUGUGUUUCAGUGUGUAACACAUCUUUAAGAAUCUUUUGCAGGGCUGGACGAGUGGCGACAAAUUCAAUUUCUGUUUGCUAUGAGAGGUCUUUAUUUCACCUUCAUUCACAAAUGAGAGCUUUGCAGAUUAUAAUAUUCUGGGCUGGCAGUUUUUUCUCUUAGUACCUGGGCUGUGUCUCGCCAUUCCCUCCUGGCUUGUAGGGUUUCUGAUGAGAAGUCAGCUGUGAGUCUGAUUGGAGAUCCUCUGAGAGUAAUCUGACGUUUCUCUCUUGCACAUUUUAGGAUCUUUUCUUUCUGUUUCACUGUGGUGAGUUUAAUUACAACGUGUUGUGGUGAGGAUCUCUUUUGGUCAUGUUUAUUAGGGGUUCUAUGAGCUUCCUGUACUAGGAUCUUUCUGUCCUUCUCCAAACCUGGGAAAUUUUCUGCUAGUAUCUCACUAAAAAGGCCUUCUAAUCCUUUCUCCCUCUCCAUGCCUUCAGGAACUCCUAGAACCUGAAUGUUGGAUUUUUUAAUAGUAUCCUGUAGAUUCCUGACAAUAUUUUUUAGAUUUCUAAUUUGCUCUUCUUUUCUUUGGUUUGACAGUAUAUUUUCCUGUUCUCUGUCUUCUAAGUCUGAUAUUCUCUCUUCUGCUUCACCCAUUCUGUUUUUAAGGCUCUCUAAUGUGUUUGUCAUUUGUUCUAUUGAAUUCUUCAUUUCAUUAUGAUUUCUCGUCACUAUCCCAGUUUCAUGUUCUACUAGUUGUUUCAUUUCAUUUUGAUUCCUCCUUAAUAUUUCAUUUUCACGAGAGAGAUUCUCUAUCUUGUCCAUUAAGGAUUUCUGUAGUUCAAUAAUUUGUUUUUGAGAACUUCUUAAUGUUCUUAUCAAUUUUUUGAGAUCUGCUUCUUGUAUUCUUCUAUCUCAUCAUCUUCAUAAUCUUGAAUUGGGGUGUCUUUUUCAUUUGGGGGAGUCAUAGUGUCUUCCUUGUUCUUGUUACCUUGGUUUCUGCGUUUGUUGUUUGGCAUAUUGGAGAUAUUAUUUGUUUUUUUUUUUUGCUGUGGUGUUUUUUCUCGUUACACUAUGACUCUAGAUUAAGUGGACUGUCUGCUUUUGAUGGAUCUUUAGAGGCUGUGAUGGGUGUGGCCAGAGAGCUCUGGUUCUUCAGGGUUAAGGGUGUGCCAAAGGUGACUCAUCCAGAUUGUUCUCUUGCUCGUUCUCGGGUUCUCUCUCUCUCUCUCUUUUUUUUUUUUUUUUUUUUUUUGACUCAGUUGGGAAGUAAUUCCACACAGCUGAGUGGAAUUGAGAGUAGUUGGUGUAUGAAAUCUGGACCCUGUGGGUAUUUGUCUGCUCUACCCCUAGGACCACACAGAGUUUAUGCAGCCCUCAGUGUGGUCUCAAAUUUCUCUGCAGUCUCUCACCAGGUUGCCAAGGUUACCUAGUUUGUAUACUUGGUGAGUCGUGUGUCCGUCCCCCCCCCCCCCCAGAUUUUCACAGUCUCAGUUCGUUAGCUCCAUGCUUUCCUAGGUCUUAACCUCCUGUUAUUUCUCCCCACCAGAGUCAGGUUUUUCUGCUUGGCUAAUGGCCGGCGCCACUUUGCAUACGUAAAAUGGCACCUGCUCUUUGUCUUGCUGGGCUUUGUAAGGUGAGUGGAGAGAGAGGCUAUUGUCCGUUCCGGUUCCCUUUAUUUAUUCGUUUUUUUCUCUCCUCCAGGCAGCCUGGUGAACUUUCCCCAGUGGGGCUUCAGGCCUCGUUCCCUCUAGGCUCUUUCUGCCUUUCCCCGCCAAUGUCUUGGGUUACUGAGGUUUUUGUCUCACCUCCCCUUCCAGCGCUGUUGCGCAGACUCUGCAGCUCAGCUCCCGCGGCUCGGCUUCCACACAGUGGGUGAUCUUGCUCUCCCCGUAUGUCCUCCGUGUCACAUCCACUAGAUCUGGAAGAGUUUCCUCUGCAAUUUUUUCCUGAACCUUUUCCUGAGGCUACAGUAACUCCACUUUUAUUAAACUAUCUUUUCCCGGACUAUCGGUGCACAGCCUCACUAUUCCACCAUCUUGGCUCCACUCAGCAUAAUGGUUCUUAAAAUUCAACUGUGUUGCAUAAACCAGUAGUUUGUUCAUUUUUAUUAUUAUAUUCAGCUUAUCCAUUUACCUGCAAAUGGACAGUUCUGGUUGUUUGUUUUUUUGCAAGUCUUGGUGUAAACAUACAUUUUCAUUUCUCUAAAAGAGGAAUUGCUAGGUAUGUGGUUAGUUUGUAUUAGCAUUCUAAAACACAGUUGAUCUUUGCC